UCCACGCCGUAAACGAUGUCUACUUGGAGGUUGUGGCCUUGAGCCGUGGCUUUCGGAGCUAACGCGUUAAGUAGACCGCCUGGGGAGUACGGUCGCAAGAUUAAAACUCAAAUGAAUUGACGGGGGCCCGCACAAGCGGUGGAGCAUGUGGUUUAAUUCGAUGCAACGCGAAGAACCUUACCUACUCUUGACAUCCAGAGAAGCCAGCGGAGACGCAGGUGUGCCUUCGGGAACUCUGAGACAGGUGCUGCAUGGCUGUCGUCAGCUCGUGUUGUGAAAUGUUGGGUUAAGUCCCGCAACGAGCGCAACCCUUAUCCUUGUUUGCCAGCGAGUAAUGUCGGGAACUCCAGGGAACUGCCGGUGAUAAACCGG
rnacentral:rRNA from 1 species